AGUACGAAUUUUGCUUUUUAGAUUUUAGUACUAAAUUUGGUACUAAAUUUGGUAGGUAUUUUUCUUCAGAAAUAUUAAAUGCGCAUUAUAUCUAUCGCUGAAAUAUAAUAUCAUAAAAUGUCUUCAAACUGUUUUGGCCUUCAGGUCAUAAAAACGAGCUUGAAAAUCGCGUUUUGGAGUACCGAAUAACUUUUGCGUGGUUUUUCAAAAUAACUUUCGAUUAGUCUUAUCUCAAAGUAUUGAUAACUUUGAGCUUUGAAAAAUGUACAUAAAAUUAAAGAUAUGAUGUAGGAAUACGUAAGUACAUUGUAUUAGAUAAAUGGGCAGGCUUUCUGUAAAAUAGUACAGUCGUUUUUGAAAACUUGAGUUGGGCAUUGACAUCACAAAUUAAGUUCCUAAUUAAAAAGUAUGAAUAAGUUACGAGUUUUUUCGGUUUUGUUGGCCACACUUUUGUGGAUCAAUGUUGUACAAGUUCAAGCGCAAGACUUACUAAAAGGUUUACUUCAAGGAUUAGAUCGUGUGAUAUUUGUUUUAAUGAAGUUGCUGAAGCCUGUGCUGUCGUUGCUGGAUCCUGUGCUUGGAAAUUUGCUGGAGCAGAAGGGUCUGGGGAAACCUAUAUCAAAACUCUUGGGACCAAAUGGAAAGAUACUGUAGGCUUCAGACCCGCUGUUGGAGCCAUAAUUAUUGCUCCUUUGAUGCCGUUACUGAAAGGGCUCGUAAUUAGUCUAAUUCAGUGAGAUGGCAGUUCUUGAACAAUAGUUACGUACGUGUGAAUAUGUCUCACGUUUCGUGACAUCAUAAAUUUAGUUUUUAAAUAAUAAAUACGUACCUACAUAAUUACAUACCUAAUCAUACUGACAGAUUUAGUUGUGCAAAGUUAUAGAUUUUAUUGAUUAAGAUGAAUACACAUAAGUAGCUUAUGCCAAUGCUAAUUAGUAUAUAAAUACCUGCAUUUAUGAGUACAUAACUAUUUUUGUGCAGCCAAUAAAUUACAUAAUAUCUGUU